rnacentral:rRNA from 1 species
GAUUACUGGGCGUAAAGCGCGCGUAGGCGGCUAAUUAAGUCAAAUGUGAAAUCCCCGAGCUUAACUUGGGAAUUGCAUUCGAUACUGGUUAGCUAGAGUGUGGGAGAGGAUGGUAGAAUUCCAGGUGUAGCGGUGAAAUGCGUAGAGAUCUGGAGGAAUACCGAUGGCGAAGGCAGCCAUCUGGCCUAACACUGACGCUGAGGUGCGAAAGCAUGGGGAGCAAACAGGAUUAGAUACCCUGGUAGUCCAUGCCGUAAACGAUGUCUACUAGCCGUUGGGGCCUUUGAGGCUUUAGUGGCGCAGCUAACGCGAUAAGUAGACCGCCUGGGGAGUACGGUCGCAAGACUAAAACUCAAAUGAAUUGACGGGGGCCUGCACAAGCGGUGGAGCAUGUGGUUUAAUUCGAUGCAACGCGAAGAACCUUACCUGGCCUUGACAUAGUAAGAACUUUCCAGAGAUGGAUUGGUGCCUUCGGGAACUUACAUACAGGUGCUGCAUGGCUGUCGUCAGCUCGUGUCGUGAGAUGUUGGGUUAAGUCCCGCAACGAGCGCAACCCUUUUCCUUAUUUGCCAGCGAGUAAUGUCGGGAACUUUAAGGAUACUGCCAGUGACAAACUGGAGGAAGGCGGGGACGACGUCAAGUCAUCAUGGCCCUUACGGCCAGGGCUACACACGUGCUACAAUGGUCGGUACAAAGGGUUGCUACACAGCGAUGUGAUGCUAAUCUCAAAAAGCCGAUCGUAGUCCGGAUUGGAGUCUGCAACUCGACUCCAUGAAGUCGGAAUCGCUGGUAAUCGCGGAUCAGAAUGCCGCGG